GUCCCAGUCAGCUUCAUGCUGCUUCUUCUCUGUCUCAGGCCUCGCUCUCCCUCCUCUUCCUCCUCUUCCUCCUGGUGUCUGCCGCCGCUCACUGACUUUUGAAAUUUGGCCCACUGUCCGUUUGCCCGCUCCUUAUCGACGGAGCGUUUUACGUUAUCGACACCGUUGGACUUCACGUCUUUCUUCAACUCAGUAACAUGCCGUCGUCUCUCCAGCUCCGGGUGUGCGGUAGUCGGCUCUGUUGCCUCACCGUUGCGUGAUCUGUGUGUGUCUGGCGUUCUCCAGUCUGAAUAUGUGAUGGGCUGACGUGUCCAGGCUGCUGGGGGGCAACGCAAGAUGCUGGUUUGAUUCCAAGGCCGUCCAGGGUGGAUCCCACAACACCACCAUCACUACCUCCACUGCCUUGAUUUCCAUAUGAGCAUUAUUAAACAGAUGAACGUAGUUUGGGGAGUCUUGUUUACAGAAGUUGGAGGUUUGAUAAAAUAAAAGACAGGGAUAAAGGUGAACAUGCCCCCCCCCCUUUUUUUAUCAAAUUAUAACAAAUUAUAUGUCAGACCACAUAUGAGCUUUUUCAGUGGUGACAUCCAUCACACUUUGGUAUAAUGGGAUUUCCUGAGUGAGUAGCACUCCUUCUUUCCUUGAAUGUCAUGCUAGGCCGCAGGUCAGACCUCCCCUGGCUGGGGCUCUCACGCUCCGACUUGGUUUAAAUGAUUGAUAGAUUAUAAAAAUCUCCAAGUCGUAACAGGACUGCAGAAUAAGCUCCUCUGCUCUUGGAGAUUAUAUCGGAGGAGGCUUAAGAAGGAACCGUGAUGAAUUGCAGCAGAUGUUUGUGUAUGGCAUGUGAAUUAAGACAUUCUAAAUGCUAACAGGAGCGUUUGGCUUCAAAUAUCACAAACUCUUAUUUAAAUGUGUAAUUAAAAACGUCCUGUGAUCAAAAUAAUCACAUAUUAUAACAAACAUAUUUAGUUUUAUUCAGUUGUAUGCAAAUCUAAAUUUACUAGAUAAAAAUCAUUCAGGACAAUAGACAGGACAAUGCUCUAUGUGUCCACUAGGGGGAGACAGAGUACACUACAUCCGUCUCAACCUUGGUUCGUUAGGGAACCAAGACUUACAAAGAUACCACAGUUUGAGGUCAGUUCCAAGAGACCGCUAUACUUAUAAACACUUUACAAAUUUUCAUUCAAAUCAUUUAAUAUCCGCAUGUGUCCAAAUCACCAUGUGUGUUUAUGCCCAUUAUGAGCCAACUGAUUCCGAGCAUUCCCAGUGGUUACAGCAUGUGCAAAAGUGCCAGAAAUCCUGUUUUCUUCUUUGACUAAUUUACAUUACAUGAGCAUCAUUAUUGCUGUUAUGAUUAUUGCCCACUGCAUGCCCAGCACGUGUACCGUAGUGCUACCUAAAGAUCACCAGAGAUAUUGUUUCAUUUUCGACAUUUUAAUGAGGGCCAACGGGGGCAAACCUUGACCUACAAUCACAUGGUCAGACGUUCUUGGCUGUUUCCCUUCACAUUCACUCUUUUAAUGCUUUGUAGGUCAGCUAAUAAAGGUUUUAUGUUAUAUUCUAAUCAGUGUAUUUCAUAAUUUCCACCAACACCUCACAGUAUUGCACGCAGUCAACGUUUUUCACUCAGUUAUGUCUAACUCUGACUAGGAAGUAAAAAUAAUUAUAGCAAACAUACAGUUAAGUUUCACCAUUAUUGUCUUGAGGAUAUGUGACAUAGUUUUGAUUAAUUGAAAUGCACUGUAUUAACUCUAAUGGAAUGUGCUGAUAGACAUAAUGACUGAGGAACACAACAGAGUUUGAAAAAGGAAAAGGCUUUAGUUCAUAAACCAAGCAAACUGUAAUAACUUACCACUUUGUACCACCGGCGCUGUCUCUGGACCUGUAGUACUGCCUUCAACCAGUUUCUGGUUUCUGAACAACUCCACAUGCGAUCCUUCCUCACAAUUAUUUAUACUUUUCCAAAAUUACAAUAGACAUAAUCCUACUUGCUUGUCACGUUAAGUGCAUGUAGCAGUAAAAUUGCAAAUGAAAGAAUUGAAAUAUUUUGAAAUGUUUGCUACUAAUAGUUCAGAUAAGAACAUUUUCUGUGGCGCUCUCUCCAGGCCCAGCCAGGUGUGAUGCAUUCUUUCCUAUGAAGUUGACUCAUAUGUCUAGAUCUGUAAUCUCCACCCGAAUAUCAACGCUGAUAAACUCCGAAAGAUUAAUAUGAUGUAGA